UACGGAGGGUGCGAGCGUUGUCCGGAAUCACUGGGCGUAAAGGGCGCGUAGGCGGCCUGAUAAGUAGGGGGUGAAAUCUUGCGGCCUUAACCGCAAGGCUGCCUUCUAAACUGUCAGGCUAGGAGCACAGUAGAGGCAGGUGGAAUUCCCGGUGUAAGCGGUGGAAUGCGUAGAGAUCGGGAAGAACAUCAGUGGCGAAGGCGGCCUGCUGGGCUGUUGCUGACGCUGAGGCGGCGACAGCGUGGGGAGCAAACAGG
rnacentral:rRNA from 1 species